UGUGAUGUAGGUCCAGGAAGGAGGCGGUUUCAGGCAAACUGGAGACAAAUCCCAGACUUAUGAGGUGCCUGGUGAGUGUCCAGCAGAUGCAGGGCAGAGCCACGUGAGGCUCAGGAGGGUGUAAGGAAGCUGUUUUGACCCAAAACAAGAAGAGAAGACUGGAACCCAGACAAAAGGGCCUUGGUCCUCAUGGGAGAAAGGAACUGAGAUGUGACAUUGGCCCUUGGAGCAGAGGCCACAGGCCCUGCUCUGCCCUUGAGGAGCUGCCAGUGGACUGUCAAGGCGAUAAGUGCCAUGCACAAGAACAAGGAACUAUGGGGGCCCAGGAGAGAUGGCCACAGACCACAGACUGGUACCGAUACAUGGUCCCGGGGUUGGAGACCCCUGGGCUACUCCACAAACACUGAAUGACAUCGGCACAAACAGCAGGGUUUGGGGGCUCCUCUCCGAGGGCAAACAUCAGCAGAAGCUGCAAGCUGUCAUCCCUGACUUGACAUCCAGCUUGGUCGUCAUGAAGGUGCCAGACAUUUCUUGGUAGUGGAUUGUAAUCAUUUCCUGGGAUGACCAUGACAAAGUACCAGACUGUGUGACUUCCACAACAGAAAUAUAUUUUCUCACCAUUCUGAAGGCUGGACGUCUGAGAUCAGGGUGUCAACUUCUUCCAAGGACCUUCUGGACCUGACACAGUGAGCAAGAAAUCUGAUGUGCCCAACAACCCUCUCUCUAAAUGAUUUCAAGGAAGAGGCAGCAAGCUGCACAGAUACUGGAAAUGCGUGAUGUAACCUUUUACAUUCAGAGAAAGGGCUGUCCCUAAUUCAAGCCAUAUUUCACCCAAUGAAGUAGACUUAUUUAAAACUGGAAAACAUCCAAAGAAGAUAUGAAAUUCAAUAUAUUUCAGUAGGUCGUGGCCUUUGCCUUCUUGUGGCCCCAAUUACUUCCCUGUGCCCAGAUGGGUCGUCCCUCUUUCCUCGUGCUGGAUACUUCCUAAUGCUCAUUCCAACCUGAGCUCUCAAGUGAGGCAUCUGCGGGUGAGAAAUCUAUAAUGCACUUAAAGGUUGUUGAGAGCUUCCCAGGAGUCAGGCUAUGUCCUAAAAGCUGUAAUAGAUUAUCUCAUUUAACCCACUGUGAGGACUCUACAGAUGAGGGUGUUUAUAAAGAUGGAGUAUAUUAUAAAGUCACACCUGUAUUAGGUAUCAUCACAGGGAUUCAAACUGCAGUCUAUUUAGCCCAGGAUUUCUCCACCUCAGCAAAAUGUCAAGGGACAUUGUGGCCCUGAUAAUUCUCUGUUACUGGGGGCAGAGGGGCUGUGCUGUGCAUUGUGGGACAUUUAGCAGCACCCCUGGUCUCUAUUCACCAGAUGUUAUUAGCAACCCCUAAUCCUAAUUAUGACAAACAAAUAUGUCUCCAGACAUUGCCAAAUAUGCCCUGGGGGGAUAAACUGCCCCUGGUUGAGACCAUCCCAACCCAAAGCCUGAGCCCCUAAUAAACAAGGACAGGCAUUAGUUUUCAACACUUCACAAGGGCCUAUUGUAGGCUGAACUAUGUCUCUCUAAAAUUCGCAUAUUGAAGCCCUAAACCUCAGUGGCUCAGAAUGGGAAUGUUUAUAGAGGUAGGAUCUUUAUGUAGGCUGAACUAUGUCUCCCUAAAAUUCACAUAUUGAAGCCCUAACCCUCAGUGGCUCAGAAUGGGAAUGUAUACAGAGAUAGACUCUUUAAAGAGGUGAGUUAAAAUUAGUUCAUUAGGGUGAGCUGUAUUCCAACCUGACUGGUGUCCCUAUAAGAAGAGGAAAUUCAGACACACAAAGAGAUACCAGGGUUGCAUACACACAGAGGAAAGCCUACGUGAGGACACAGCGAGAAGACAGACAGCUGCAAGCUGAGGAAAGAGGCCUCAGAAGAAACCAGCUCUGCUGACACCUUGACAUUGGGCUUCCAGCUUGCAGAACUGUGAGAAAAGUCCUGUCGUUGAAGCCACAAGUCUGUGAUAUUUUAUUAUGAUCACCCUAGCAAACUAAUACAAGUCCCCGAAAGCCACACUCAGCUUUCUGUCUUUACUUUUCCAUUUUGUUUAGAAUAUAUCUUGGAAGGUUUCCGAACCAAUUCCAAGCCUAGCAAAAGAAAAGGUCAGUUCAUGAGUUCUGUGGAGACAUAUCCCAAAAUAUAACCUGGCAAUACUGUGCCUGAUCCAUAUUUGUCUUGAAGAUAACCACUGCUAGGAAAAUAUUCCUGAAAUUCUUAGCAGGCCAUAGCAAGUUGCUUUAGGACUUUCAUGACUGGUUGUCAGUCAUACCCUCACACUAACCCUGUUUGUGCCCUUGUCUUUAUGUGUUUUUAGUGAGAAUAUACUUUCUAGAAACUAAACAGAAUGGCAAUAUGAUGUAAUGCCAAGAUAGCAAGGACAGUUUUGAUGUCCCUCCCCAGUCUAGUUCAUGGCAGACAUUAUAGAAAAUGAGUCCCAGCUCACUUUCUCACUAAGACAAGAAGGCAUCAGCAUCCUUCUUAACACUAGGCUCCAGGCAAGACUACAAAAUGAUCAGAGGUGGCAGGAGAGGUGAAUUCUUAAGCUAUCUUAGGUGCAGUGCCAUGUUCUGUACGCUGGCCGCACACUGGAAUCAUUUGAGGAUUUUUUUUAAAAUACCAUGGAAAAGCAAAAAUUGACAAAUGGGAUCUAAUUAAAAGCUUCUGCACAGCAAAAUAAACUAUCAUCAGAGUGAACAGAAUGGGAGGAAAUUCUUGCAAUCUAUCCAUCUGACAAAGGUCUAAUAUCCAGAAUCUACAAGGAACUUAAACCAAUUUACAAAAAAAAAAAAAAAACCCCAUUACAAAAUAGGAAAAGGAUGUGGAUAGACAUUUCUCAAAAGAAGACAUUCAUGCAGCCAACAUACAUAUGAAAAAAAGCUCAACAUCACUGAUCGUUAGAGACAUGCAAAUCAAAACCACAAUGAGAUAUCAUCUCAUGCCAAUCAGAAUGGCGAUUAUGAAAAAGUCAGAAAACCACAGAUGCUGGCAUCAUGGAACAGAGGAUUCCAGCCUGCCUGCAGGCUCAAACACACUACCUGUAGGGCUACACAAAAAGCUCUCAGGGUCUUGGGGCCUCAGUUUUCCCAUUUGUAAAAUGGCCAUCAUAACUCUUGCCUUUCCUAUUUUAUGGGAUUGCUACGUUCAAACAGAUAAAGCUGAA
rnacentral:lncRNA from 1 species